rnacentral:rRNA from 1 species
UACAGAGGUCUCGAGCGUUAGGCGGAAUCACUGGGCUUAAAGCGUGUGUAGGUGGAUCGUUAAGUACCUUGUGAAAUCCCACGGCUUAACCGUGGAACUGCUUGGUAUACUGGCGGUCUUGAGUCAGCUAGGGGCUACCGGAACAAAUGGUGGAGCGGUGAAAUGCGUAGAUAUCAUUUGGAACGCCAAUGGUGAAAACAGGCAGCUGGGGCUGUACUGACACUGAGACACGAAAGCCAGGGGAGCAAACGGG